UUCAGUAUGGCAGAAUCUAGUGCCAUGAAUUUAAGAUUCAUAUAUAAAUAUUAUUAUUUUGCUGAAA
rnacentral:tRNA from 2 species